CUCUCCAUGGGGUCCCCACGGGGUCCCCAAAGGUGUCCCUCAGGGGACCCCAAAUGGGAUGAAAUGACCCCAAAGGGCCCCCAUAUGGGCUCAAAUGGCCCCAAAGGGUCCCCAAAUGGGAUCAGAUGUCACCAAAGGGGACCCCAAAUGGGAUCAAAUGGCCCCAAAGGGUCCCCAAAUGGGAUCAGAUGUCACAAAAGGGUCCCCAAAUGGGCUCAAAUGGCCCCAAAGGGUCCCCAAAUGGGAUCAGAUGUCACAAAAGGGGACCCCAAAUGGGAUCAAAUGGCCCCAAAGGGUCCCCAAAUGGGAUCAAAUGUCACCAAAGGGCCCCCAAAUGGGAUCAGAUGUCACCAAAGGGGACCCCAAAUGGGAUCAGAUGUCACCAAAGGGUCCCCAUAUGGGCUCAAAUGGCCCCAAAGGGUCCCCAAAUGGGAUCAAAUGUCACAAAAGGGUCCCCAAAUGGGCUCAAAUGGCCCCAAAGGGUCCCCAAAUGGGAUCAGAUGUCACCAAAGGGGACCCCAAAUGGGCUCAAAUGGCCCCAAAGGGACCCCAAAUAGGAUGAAAUGACCCCAAAUGGCCCCCAAAUGGGCUCAAAUGUCACCAAAGGGUCCCCAAAUGGGCUCAAAUGGCCCCAAAGGGACCCCAAAUAGGAUGAAAUGACCCCAAAGGGUCCCCAAAUGGGCUGAAAUGGCACCAAGAUGUCCCCAAAGGGGCUCAAAUGGCCCCAAAGGGACCCCAAAUAGGAUCAAAUGUCCCCACGGGGACCCUAAAUGGGAUAAAAUGAUCCCAAAGGGUCCCCAUAUGGGCUCAAAUGGCCCCAAGGGGACCCCAAAUAGGAUGAAAUGACCCCAAAGGGUCCUCACAGGUGCUCAAAUGGCCCCAAUGGGACCCCAAAUAGGAUCAAAUGUCCCCACGGGGACCCCAAAUGGGAUGAAAUGACCCCAAAGUGUCCCCACGUGGGCUCAAAUGGCCCCAAGGGGACCCCAAAUGGGAUCAGAUGUCACCACAGGGUCCCCAAAUGGGCUCAAACGACCCCAAAGGGGCCCCCAAAUGAACCCAAAUGGGCUGAAAUGUCCCCAUGGUGUCCCCAAAUGCCCCCAGGUCACCCCAUAGUGGCCCUAUGAUGUCCCCCCAUAGUGCCCCCAUAGUGUCCCCAAAUACCCCCAUGAUGUCCCCCAAAUGCCCCCAUAGUGUCCCCAAAUGUCCCCCAACGCCACUAUAGUGUCUGUAUGAUGCCCCCAAAUCCCCCCAUGAUGCCCCCCUAUGCCCCCAUAAUGUCCCCAAGUGCCCCAUAAUGUCCCCAAACGCC
ensembl:lncRNA